CUCAGUGAGCUCUGGAUACGCCUGAUCCCAUCUGAUCUUGAAAGUUAAGCAGGGCUGAAUCUGGUUUAGUACCUGUAUGGGAGAUGGGCUAGCAACUGGGA
rnacentral:rRNA from 1 species